AAUCAACGCUGGCGGCGUGCCUCAGACAUGCAAGUCGAACGCGAAAGUUUCCUUCGGGAGACAAGUAGAGUGGCGCACGGGUGAGUAACACGUAGGUAAUCUACCUUUGGAUGGGGAAUAACAACCGGAAACGGUUGCUAAUACCGCAUAAUGCAGCGGCACCUAAUGGUGACAGUUGUUAAAGCGGGGGAUCGAAGACCUCGCGUCUGAAGAGGAGCCUGCGGCGGAUUAGCAGUUGGUAAGGUAAUGGCUUACCAAGGCUACGAUCCGUAACCGGCCUGAGAGGGGCGGUCGGUCACACUGACACUGACAUACGGGUCAGACUCCUACGGGAGGCAGCAGUCGGGAA
rnacentral:rRNA from 1 species